AGAGUUUGAUCAUGGCUCAGGAUGAACGCUAGCGGCAGGCUUAACACAUGCAAGUCGAGGGGUAGAAGUUGCUUGCAACUUUGAGACCGGCGCACGGGUGCGUAACGCGUAUGCAAUCUACCUUGUACAGGGGGAUAGCCCAGAGAAAUUUGGAUUAAUACCCCAUAGUGUAAUUGAAUGGCAUCAUUUAAUUACUAAAGUUCCAACGGUACAAGAUGAGCAUGCGUCCUAUUAGCUAGUUGGUGUGGUAACGGCACACCAAGGCUACGAUAGGUAGGGGUCCUGAGAGGGAGAUCCCCCACACUGGUACUGAGACACGGACCAGACUCCUACGGGAGGCAGCAGUGAGGAAUAUUGGACAAUGGGCGCAAGCCUGAUCCAGCCAUGCCGCGUGCAGGAAGACGGUCCUAUGGAUUGUAAACUGCUUUUAUACGGGAAGAAACACUCCUACGUGUAGGAACUUGACGGUACCGUAAGAAUAAGGAUCGGCUAACUCCGUGCCAGCAGCCGCGGUAAUACGGAGGAUCCAAGCGUUAUCCGGAAUCAUUGGGUUUAAAGGGUCCGUAGGCGGUCUAAUAAGUCAGUGGUGAAAGCCCAUCGCUUAACGAUGGAACGGCCAUUGAUACUGUUAGACUUGAAUUAUUGGGAAGUAACUAGAAUAUGUAGUGUAGCGGUGAAAUGCUUAGAUAUUACAUGGAAUACCAAUUGCGAAGGCAGGUUACUACCAAUGGAUUGACGCUGAUGGACGAAAGCGUGGGGAGCGAACAGGAUUAGAUACCCUAGUAGUCC
rnacentral:rRNA from 1 species